CAAACCCCAGCAUAUACCAUGCAGUAUUGAUAACCUUGGCAGACAGACAAAAGCCCCAUCACAAAAAAAAGAGAACUUCUAAAAGCAUAGAAAAAUGUUAACAGUUGGCCAGCUGUUAGGGAAAAAAAACCUUAUCCAAGUUCUAAACACUAAGCUGCAAGGAAGCAAGGCUCUUAAUGUGUCUGCAGCAGGGAAGCUGAGCACAAACAUAAAAUCGGUGCCAGUGGAAUAUUCCCUAAGGGCAAAGCCCUGUUUUAUCAUCUAAUCGCUAAUCUGAAGCUGUGUGAGUACAAAUGUGGCAACUGGAUAUACCUGUUUUUGUCAGCCUCUCUCCAGCCAGACUAAGUCAAGCCUUAGACUAAUUCAGUUACUCCGAGAUAAAUUCUGGCAGUAGCGAGUUUCCUCUGCACUGUAUCUGCUUCUUUCCUGGAGUGACGGGGCUGAGUGGGACAUUGUAUAAUUCCUCCUCUUUGGAACCUGAUACUCAUCAGAAAGACCACAGAGAAGACUGAAAGGAGGUCAUUCCUCUCAUCUCCUCAGCCUGCUGGUGCAGAUUUCCAACGUGCCCACAUUAUGGGAGUUUCUGUUUGUAUCCCACAGUAUGUUUGGCCUGAAGACCAUUGUGGAAAUAUGAGAUGACUUUUUAGACCUUUCUUCUAGCCUGAAGAAAGACGUUCUACUUAGGAUUAUCUUGCAAUCCAAUAAAUAAUAGCAGCUGGUCAGAAACCUGGUCUGUGAACACUGUUGGGAACACUGUUGUGUUUGUUUAAUUAUUUGUAAUAAUUUUAUUUUUGCAGGGAUAUGCUAAGUCUUUUCAAGUGCAAAAGGGAAAGAUGAAAAAAAGAAAAAAAAAAAAGAAAGUUUUGAUUUGAAAGGCCAAGUACAGAUCUUUGUGCUGACUUUCAUAUACUCUAGGACCUGCCCUUCUCUUUUUAUGCAUGAUCACAUACGCUCCAAACAUCUAAGAAGCUUCUGUUGGUGUUGGGGGUUAAAAUUCCUAGGAUUAGAAGCAGAGGUUUUGGAGUCAAGGGCCCCCACCUCUGGAAUUAGUUUUCCUUGGUUUCCUGCCAGUGUCCAUCCAGUAAGCUUCAGAACACAUGGGGAAAUGUUUAUAUUUGGGUUAGCUUCUCUCUAUUUUUAGAUGGUUUGGUUUUGCUUUGAAUUUUACUCUACAGAUGUGAAGAUGGUAGAUUGGCUAUUGUUAUUUUCUAAGAGAAUGAUUUAGCACUACCCAUUACGAGAAGGCUCCCGUGUCCUUUAUCAGUAAUCUUGUAAGAACAUGCUGCAGCCUGUGAAUGAAUAUUUGCAUUCUUACUUCCACAUCAUCAUUUUCCAACAUGUGCUACCGGGAUUACGUUGAGCCGAGCUGGAAAAGCUCCCAAGCCCAGAAUGUUGUACCCUGUGCGUGUUGUUGGCCCUGUUGUUUGGAGGGAACAGGACUGCAUGGACUGACAGGGGUUGGGUGAUUUGCUACCUACAUGUGCUCCUGCUUCGCACUGCAAGCAUCAUCUUUGUCAUACAGCAGGAUGUUUAAAUCUUUGUACCCCAAAAUGUGGACGAUCUUUAAAUGAUUAUAAAUAAAUGAUUGUAAGUAGUAUUUGGUUAUAAA
ensembl:lncRNA